rnacentral:rRNA from 1 species
GAUGAACGCUGGCGGCGUGCCUAAUACAUGCAAGUCGAGCGAACAGACGAGGAGCUUGCUCCUCUGACGUUAGCGGCGGACGGGUGAGUAACACGUGGAUAACCUACCUAUAAGACUGGGAUAACUUCGGGAAACCGGAGCUAAUACCGGAUAAUAUAUUGAACCGCAUGGUUCAAUAGUGAAAGACGGUUUUGCUGUCACUUAUAGAUGGAUCCGCGCCGCAUUAGCUAGUUGGUAAGGUAACGGCUUACCAAGGCAACGAUGCGUAGCCGACCUGAGAGGGUGAUCGGCCACACUGAAACUGAGACACGGUCCAGACUCCUACGGGAGGCAGCAGUAGGGAAUCUUCCGCAAUGGGCGAAAGCCUGACGGAGCAACGCCGCGUGAGUGAUGAAGGUCUUCGGAUCGUAAAACUCUGUUAUUAGGGAAGAACAAAUGUGUAAGUAACUAUGCACGUCUUGACGGUACCUAAUCAGAAAGCCACGGCUAACUACGU